GGUCUUAUAGUAAAAGAAUAAUAUUAGAUUGCAAAUCUAAAGAUGUGUAGAACACUGAGACUU
rnacentral:tRNA from 1 species